UUUUUUUUUUUUGUGAGAGCAGUUUGAAGCAUACAAGCACUGAAUGGCUUUUGAGUGAAAAAAUCUCAAUAUCUCAAUAUCAUAACUAGGUUAUACGAAAGCUGAAAUUGUUUGAUUGUCUAUAAUUUUGCAUGUGUCCAUCCGACUAUGAUGAAUCUGAACAUUGUAGUUGUGUGAUAAUGUAACUGUACCGCUUGAUUCUUGAUUGAAACACAAUCCUGGUUGCCUGUGGAUUUUGGCCGCUAUCCUUUUUGCCAGAAACUGAAUCUUGUAAUUAUAUAGGAGAAUGCUGGCAUGAUUUGAAAAGCCUUAAAGAUAUAUUGUGCCAGAUAAUGUAGUGAACCAUUCUCAGGCAUAACUAAACUUGGCACAAACUUCAUUUGGCUAUGAGCAGCAAUAAGGGAAUUACGCCAUGGUUUGAUCUUAACCUCAACGGCUAUUAAACUAUUACUAUAAUCAACUAUCAAACUAUUUUCCGUCUCAAAUAAGUCACUCACCUAAUUAGUCACUAUAUUAGGACCCAUUUCGGCAGUUUUAAGUUAAUUUAGAUGAUAAGCCCAACACGCAACUUACAUGCCAAAACUUAUAGGCAAAUAUGUCCGUCCACAAGAAGGGUCUUCUCAACACAAGGACACAUUUACCAAAUUGUGGGUGGACAUAUUUACCUAUAAAUUUUAACAUACCUAUAACUUUUAACAUUUGAGUUGCGCGUGUUUGGUUUACCUUGUAAAUUAAGAGCUAAAUCUGAUGAAAUGGCCAUCAGUCUACUAAUUAGUUUGUUGAGUGGCAUGUUGGAAAAUAGUUUGAAUGGUUAAAAAUUGACGACGAGAAUAGUUCAAUGGCUGUUGAGGUUUUUUGCCAUAACAAUUUCCAAUUACAAGGUACCAUUGUUUAUCAGGGCAUGUGAAAGACAAAAAAGGAAAGGGUUAUGUGUUAAGCGUUGGUGGGGUUAUCAAUCCAACUGCACCAUCCAAUUCAUCAAUUAUGAUUCCUAUUGAGCUGCAUGAGCUUGGCUUGAUUUGGACCGUUGAUCUCAAAAUUUGAAAUUUAAAAUCAACAGUCCAAAUUGAAUCGAGCUCAUGUAGUUCGAUCAGUACCAUGAAUGAUAUCAUAUGGUUAGAUUGAACUACUUCAGAUUAUCUAUCAAAAAUCAAUCAUAGGUUUAGUUGUAAUCUUUUUGAACAUCUUUUUCAUCAGUUCCUAAAAUGGAAACGACUUGAUUGAUUUGUAUGCAACUAUACCAGAAGAUAUAAGAGCAAAAAUACAACAAAAUUGUGAAAAAAGAAGGAAAAGAGGAGAGCUGUGAAACAUACUCAUGCAGUGAUCAACACACAAGAUAUAACAGGCGAAUUCCAGUUCCUCCCACUUCUGACAGAUAUUGGGACAUUCCCGGGCGCAAGGUGAAUCCGCCUCCACCUCAUGGUUCAAAACAAGAACAAGAACUAGAACAGCAAACAAAAGAGCUUGCACUCUCCCCAUUCUUCUUGUUUUUCCUCUCUAGUUGUUUUUCUUUUAUUGAAUGCUAGAUGGCCUGUGGCCCAUGAGAGUGUUAGUUUUGUGGAUGGGGCUAUUUAAAGCAUUUGUUUGUUGGGGGAAAGGGGGGGGGGGUAUGUUCUGUUCUGGUCAAAUAUGUUCAGAAUAAUAGAAUCUAAAGUUCCUUAUUCUAUGGUUGGAAUUGGUUAAAAAAAAAUUAUUAGCUGGAUGAUGUCUUUGCUAUUCUAGAUGAAGAGAUCCUCCCAAUUUCUCAGGUGCACCUCAAAUUGGUUCUCAAUUUACCAAUCAUGUACAUAUAUGAUAUGUACACUGCUUUUGACUGUUUCUUGAAAUCUUGAAUUACAGCUCAAGGUUGGUAUUAAACAGUUGGAAAUUAACUUGAUUCUGAUUUUUGACCACAAUAUUCAACGUUUCUGAUCAAUGCAAUUGCAAAGCAUUCGGCAGUGCCAUUUCCAUUUUUAUUUGCCAGACAUCAAUUUCGUUGUACCUAAGCCAAUCUAAGUCUUUGAGAGGUGCAUUUGUCCGAGUUCUCAUUCAUUGUAAAAUGAAUUCAGUGGAAAAAAAUCUUUUUCCGUUUCUUACAAAAAGAAAAAGGAACAUUUUAUUCCAUCUAUUUCUUACUUAUUUAGGCCUUUAAUUUUUUUUUUAAAACUAUAACAGUUUAGGCCUUUUAUGAAGCCACAUAAUUUGAUAGAGUAAGGUAUCUCAUAUAUCUUUUAAUUUUUCUCAAGAUAAACCAAAUUUUUUAUGCACACAAACACAUUCAAAUAUAAAACUUCUGUACUAACAUUUUUCUUGAAGAAGUUUGGUGAAUUUUGGAUGUUAACAGUGGACGAUGCUUUUGGGAGAACUUUGAAAAAAGGGACCACUAAACAAGGGACAGAUAGAAGAAGCAUAAAAAAUCAAUGAAAGAUUGCCAUUUAGGAUGGAAGAUUGCCAUAAAAAAUCACUUGGCAGACAGAUUUCAAGACAAGAACUGAAUAGGGCUGUAUUGAGCAUUGAUAUAAUUGACAAGUUGCAUUCUUGAUUAAAUGAAUUACAUUAGAUACAUAAUGCACAUACAGGCUCUUCUGACCUUCAGUUUCCUCCUACUUAAUGGUGCUGGCAGUUCCCUCCUGCUCUUCAGGCAAACUGCAGUGUUUUUGUAUCCGCUCCCUAAGUCAAUAAUGUAUCGCAUCUCAUUGAUGAAGAAAAGAAUUUU
rnacentral:lncRNA from 1 species